CAGCAGCCGCGGUAAUACGGAGGAUCCAAGCGUUAUCCGGAUUUAUUGGGUUUAAAGGGUGCGUAGGCGGCUAUAUAAGUCAGAGGUGAAAGACGACAGCUCAACUGUCGCAGUGCCUUUGAUACUGUAUAGCUUGAAUACAGAUGAAGUAGGCGGAAUGUGGCAAGUAGCGGUGAAAUGCAUAGAUAUGCCACAGAACACCAAUUGCGAAGGCAGCUUACUAAACUGAUAUUGACGCUGAGGCACGAAAGCGUGGGGAUCAAACAGGAUUAGAUACCCUGGUAGUCCACGCCCUAAACGAUGAUAACUCGAUGUUAGCGAUACACAGUUAGCGUCCAAGCGAAAGCGUUAAGUUAUCCACCUGGGGAGUACGCC
rnacentral:rRNA from 1 species